GAUGAACGCUGGCGGCGUGCCUAAUACAUGCAAGUCGAGCGAACGGACGAGAAGCUUGCUUCUCUGAUGUUAGCGGCGGACGGGUGAGUAACACGUGGAUAACCUACCUAUAAGACUGGGAUAACUUCGGGAAACCGGAGCUAAUACCGGAUAAUAUUUUGAACCGCAUGGUUCAAAAGUGAAAGACGGUCUUGCUGUCACUUAUAGAUGGAUCCGCGCUGCAUUAGCUGGUUGGUAAGGUAACGGCUUACCAAGGCAACGAUGCAUAGCCGACCUGAGAGGGUGAUCGGCCACACUGGAACUGAGACACGGUCCAGACUCCUACGGGAGGCAGCAGUAGGGAAUCUUCCGCAAUGGGCGAAAGCCUGACGGAGCAACGCCGCGUGAGUGAUGAAGGUCUUCGGAUCGUAGAACUCUGUUAUUAGGGAAGAACAUAUGUGUAAGUAACUGUGCACAUCUUGACGGUACCUAAUCAGAAAGCCACGGCUAACUACGUG
rnacentral:rRNA from 1 species